GGGGUGAUGGCGCAGCUGGGAGCGCGUUAGACUGAAGUAGUAACUUCGGUUUGCAAAUCAAAUUAGGUUUGAUAUCUAAAGGUCACCGGUUCGAUCCCGGUUCACCCCA
rnacentral:tRNA from 1 species